UGUAAAUCUUUUGAACGAAGAAUCAAAUUUGGGUAAUCUUCAGUGAAAACUGUCUGAAAGUCACUUUUCACAGGUAGACAAAAUCGACAACAGUAUGACACACUGAACGACUCUACAAAUUCAAAUAGUCCAUGCAGAGCCAAGUUGUCCCCUGUUACCUGCACAAUGGUGCCUCUUAAAUGGGCAUUAGAAAGAGCAGUGUGAAUUUCUAAAAUCAUGAGGUAAUCAAUGAGAGGUUGAAGUACAGCAUCAAAUCUAUAUUUUUUCAAGUCUUUGGAAUGAAACAAGGCAACAAUAUAGAUGCUCAUCAAAACAGAGUUACAUUUUGGGGGAAGAUUCCGUCAAAUAAAAUAAAUGCAACCAAGUUUAUGAAUGCCCUUUUUAGAACCUAAUGGAUUGGCAGUCUCAAAGUCAUCAUAGUACAGCUGAAGCUGCAGUGCAUGUUUGUCACGUGAAAAAAGACUAUAAGUUUUCAUGUAUUCUCUAUCACAAAUAUCGUCAUAAAUAUCCUUGUGGUGUUGACUUGCUUGUUGAGAAACUUUAACUUUUCCUUAUUUUUAAACAUGGAUUGGAAGUGUUUUUAUUAGAACUGGAACAUA